UAAUGUCUGGGAAACUGCCUGAUGGAGGGGGAUAACUACUGGAAACGGUAGCUAAUACCGCAUAACGUCGCAAGACCAAAGUGGGGGACCUUCGGGCCUCAUGCCAUCAGAUGUGCCCAGAUGGGAUUAGCUAGUAGGUGGGGUAAUGGCUCACCUAGGCGACGAUCCCUAGCUGGUCUGAGAGGAUGACCAGCCACACUGGAACUGAGACACGGUCCAGACUCCUACGGGAGGCAGCAGUGGGGAAUAUUGCACAAUGGGCGCAAGCCUGAUGCAGCCAUGCCGCGUGUGUG
rnacentral:rRNA from 1 species